rnacentral:rRNA from 1 species
UACGGAGGAUGCGAGCGUUAUCCGGAUUUAUUGGGUUUAAAGGGUGCGUAGGCGGACUGUCAAGUCAGAAGUGAAAACCCAGGGCUCAACCUUGGGACUGCUUUUGAAACUGAGUAGCUAGAGUGCAGGAGAGGUAAGCGGAAUUCCUAGUGUAGCGGUGAAAUGCGUAGAUAUUAGGAGGAACACCAGUGGCGAAGGCGGCUUACUGGACGGAAACUGACGUUGAGGCUCGAAAGCGUGGGGAGCAAACAGG